CGAGCGGAAGAUGGGAGCUUGCUCCCUGAUGUUAGCGGCGGACGGGUGAGUAACACGUGGGUAACCUGCCUGUAAGACUGGGAUAACUCCGGGAAACCGGGGCUAAUACCGGAUGCUUGUUUGAACCGCAUGGUUCAAACAUAAAAGGUGGCUUCGGCUACCACUUACAGAUGGACCCGCGGCGCAUUAGCUAGUUGGUGAGGUAAUGGCUCACCAAGGCAACGAUGCGUAGCCGACCUGAGAGGGUGAUCGGCCACACUGGGACUGAGACACGGCCCAGACUCCUACGGGAGGCAGCAGUAGGGAAUCUUCCGCAAUGGACGAAAGUCUGACGGAGCAACGCCGCGUGAGUGAUGAAGGUUUUCGGAUCGUAAAGCUCUGUUGUUAGGGAAGAACAAGUGCCGUUCAAAUAGGGCGGCACCUUGACGGUACCUAACCAGAAAGCCACGGCUAACUACGUGCCAGCAGCCGCGGUAAUACGUAGGUGGCAAGCGUUGUCCGGAAUUAUUGGGCGUAAAGGGCUCGCAGGCGGUUUCUUAAGUCUGAUGUGAAAGCCCCCGGCUCAACCGGGGAGGGUCAUUGGAAACUGGGGAACUUGAGUGCAGAAGAGGAGAGUGGAAUUCCACGUGUAGCGGUGAAAUGCGUAGAGAUGUGG
rnacentral:rRNA from 1 species